rnacentral:rRNA from 1 species
CAAGCGUGGAGCAUGUGGAUUAAUUCGAAGCAACGCGCAGAACCUUUACCUAGGUUUGACAUGCUUGGAUGCUUGCCUGGAAACAGGUUAAGCUGCCUCGGGGUGAAACUUGCGCAGGUGCUGCAUGGCUGUCGUCAGCUCGUGUCGUGAGAUGUCGGGUUAAGUCCCUUAACGAGCGAAACCCUUGCCGUUAGUUACCAGCGGGUCAUGCCGGGAACUCUAGCGGGACUGCCGGUGUUAAACCGGAGGAAGGUGGGGAUGACGUCAAGUCAUCAUGGCCUUUAUGCCUAGGGCAUCACACGUGCUACAAUGGCCGGGACAAAGCGACGCAAGACCGCGAGGUGGAGCUAAUCGCAAAAACCCGGCCCCAGUUCGGAUUGCAGGCUGGCAACUCGCCUGCAUGAAGUUGGAAUCGCUAGUAAUCGUGAAUCAGCUAUGUCACGGUGAAUGUGUUCCUGAGCCUU